UUAAGUUAAUAAGGGCGCACGGUGGAUGCCUAGGCACUAGGAGCCGAUGAAGGACGUGACGAACGACGACAUGCUUUGGGGAGCUGUAAGUAAGCCUUGAUCCAGAGAUAUCCGAAUGGGGGAACCCAACAGGUAAUGCCUGUUAUCCAUAACUGUUAAGGUUAUGAGAAGGAAGACGCAGUGAACUGAAACAUCUCAGUAGCUGCAGGAAGAGAAAGCAAGAGCGAUUGCCUCAGUAGCGGCGAGCGAAGAGGCAGGAGGGCAAACCAGAGUGUUUACACUCUGGGGUUGUAGGACUGCGAUAAAGCAGCCAAGGGAAUAGAAGAAGACUCUGGGAAGAGUCGCCAGAGAGAGUAAGAGCCUCGUAUUUGAAAUUCACUUGAUGCCAAGCAGGAUCCUGAGUACGGCGGGACACGAGGAAUCCCGUCGGAAUCUGGGAGGCCCAUCUCCCAACCCUAAAUACUCCCUAGUGACCAAUAGUGAACCAGUACCGUGAGGGAAAGGUGAAAAGUACCCCGGAAGGGGAGUGAAAGAGAACCUGAAACCGUGUGCUUACAAGAAGUUCGAGCCCGUUAAUGGGUGAGAGCGUGCCUUUUGUAGAAUGAACCGGCGAGUUACGUUUACGUGCGAGGUUAAGUUGAAGAGACGGAGCCGUAGGGAAACCGAGUCUGAAAAGGGCGGUUAAGUACGUAGAUGUAGACCCGAAACCAAGUGACCUACCCAUGAGCAGGUUGAAGGUGCGGUAAAACGCACUGGAGGACCGAACCAGGACACGUUGAAAAGUGUUUGGAUGACUUGUGGGUAGCGGAGAAAUUCCAAACGAACUUGGAGAUAGCUGGUUCUCUCCGAAAUAGCUUUAGGGCUAGCGUCGGUCGCGAGACUCUUGGAGGUAGAGCACUGUUUGAUUGAGGGGUCCAUCCCGGAUUACCAAUCUCAGAUAAACUCCGAAUGCCAACGAGUUAAGACCGGCAGUCAGACUGCGAGUGCUAAGAUCCGUAGUCGAAAGGGAAACAGCCCAGACCACCAGCUAAGGUCCCUAAAUAAUUGUUAAGUGGAAAAGGAUGUGGGGUUGCACAGACAACUAGGAUGUUAGCUUAGAAGCAGCUAUUCAUUCAAAGAGUGCGUAAUAGCUCACUAGUCGAGUGACCCUGCGCCGAAAAUGUACCGGGGCUGAAACAAUUUACCGAAGCUGUGGAUCCCUUAGGGGAUGGUAGGAGAGCGUUCUAUGUGCGCAGAAGGUGUACCGCAAGGAGCGCUGGAGUGCAUAGAAGUGAGAAUGCCGGUAUGAGUAGCGUAAGACAGGUGAGAAUCCUGUCCACCGUAAGACUAAGGAUUCCAGGGGAAGGCUCGUCCGCCCUGGGUUAGUCGGGACCUAAGGAGAGACCGAUAGGUGUAUCCGAUGGGCAACAGGUUGAUAUUCCUGUACUAGAGUAUUGAGUGAAGGAGGGACGCAGCAGGCUAACUAGAGCGUGCGAUUGGAAGAGCACGUCCAAGCAGUGAGGUGAGGACUGAGUCAAAUGCUUAGUUCUGUGCCACCAAGCUGUGACGGGGAGCGAAGUUUAGUAGCGAAGCUAGUGAUGUCACUCUGCCAAGAAAAGCUUCUAGCGUUAAUGAAUACUCUACCCGUACCGCAAACCGACACAGGUAGUCGAGGCGAGUAGCCUCAGGUGAGCGAGCGAACUCUCGUUAAGGAACUCGGCAAAAUGGCCCCGUAACUUCGGGAGAAGGGGCGCUGGCGAUAAGUCAGCCGCAGUGAAAAGGCCCAAGCAACUGUUUAUCAAAAACACAGCUCUCUGCGAAAUCGUAAGAUGAAGUAUAGGGGGGACGCCUGCCCGGUGCUGGAAGGUUAAGAGGAGCGCUUAGACGUUUGUCGAAGGUGUGAAUUGAAGCCCCAGUAAACGGCGGCCGUAACUAUAACGGUCCUAAGGUAGCGAAAUUCCUUGUCGGGUAAGUUCCGACCCGCACGAAAGGCGUAAUGAUUUGGGCACUGUCUCAACGAGAGACUCGGUGAAAUUUUAGUACCUGUGAAGAUGCAGGUUACCCGCGACAGGACGGAAAGACCCCAUGGAGCUUUACUGCAGUUUGAUAUUGCGUAUCUGUUUAACAUGUACAGGAUAGGU
rnacentral:rRNA from 1 species